rnacentral:rRNA from 1 species
UACGGAGGGUGCGAGCGUUGUCCGGAAUCACUGGGCGUAAAGGGCGCGUAGGUGGCGCGGGCAGUCAACGGUGAAAGUUCGGGGCUCAACCCUGAAUCGGCCGUCGAUACUCCCGAGCUCGAGCGCUGUAGAGGCAGAUGGAAUUCCGGGUGUAGCGGUGGAAUGCGUAGAGAUCCGGAAGAACACCGGUGGCGAAGGCGGUCUGCUGGGCAGUAGCUGACACUGAGGCGCGACAGCGUGGGGAGCAAACAGG